UUCUUUGUUGGUUGAACAGUUCAUUCUGCUGCAAAUGAUGUUGAUGCCUACAGAACAGCUGUUCACAUGAUCUGUAUAAGUGUAGGUACUUCUUGCUUCUCAUCAACAAUGCAACGGUGAAGCAUAAAAGGUAGUAUAGACAAUGGUUGUGAUAUUGCCUGCUUCAGGGGUUAGUUGAUAGCUAAACUAUCACCGCUAUAGUAUGGGUUAGCUCACCAUAUGAUAGAAAUGCUGCUUCAGAAGCAGAAAAAAGCAGCAACAUUCUAGAGAAAAGCAAUAAGCAGAAUUUACUGCACCCUUUUUGAGAAGAGAAUUUACUAUACUGCGCUUAUGACAAAAGUGAAGACACUAGCCUUGAUUAAUUAAAACCAUAUUUUUGACAACCUUAGUGACUACUUUUGGCAAGAGUUAUUUUGAAAUUUAUGUCUAAAGUAGUAAAUAUGAAAUUUAUUCAUGCAAUAGUAAAUCUAAAAUUUAUUAAAGAAACAAGUGCAUGUCAUGGUAAACUUGGAGUUUACUAGUAUAAAAGUUCAUAAAUUGGCAUAAACGAUUGUGACAUCCGAAGAUGUGCAUAUUGAGUAUUGGACAUAUAAUGAAGAAUUAGAAGAUUUUUCAAGAAUUAUUCAUGUUAUUUGUUCUCAUGAUAAGUUGGUUGGACCAAUUAAUAUUGGGAUUGAACCCCUUAAAUCUGAAAAGUAUAAAGGUGAAUAUGAGUCCGUUCACCUGUCAUGUGAUCUAUUAACAACAACAACAACAAACCCAGUGUAUUCCCACUUAGUGGGGUCUGGGGGGGUAAGAUGUACGCAGUCCAUACCUCUACCUCUGAUGAAGUAGAAAGGCUGUUUCCGAAAGACCCCCGGCUCAAGUCACGAGAUAUCACACAAACACAUAGGACAGCACAGCAGCAGAUGACAUAACAUAGAUACGGCACCCAUAAGGAAUAUAAAACAAACAGGAAUCCCCCCCCACCACUUAAUUCCCUACACUAGCGACCCGAACUGGCCCUAAUCCUCUGCCGUAAUUCGCAUCUUCCAGCCCUUCCUAUCUAGGGUCAUGUCCUCGGUGAGCUGUAACUGUUCCAUGUCCCGCCUAGUCUUAAGAUGCAUCAAUAUAAGAUAAUCACAUGUAUAUUGUCAACCGGCUGUUGACAUUCAUAGAUUUUCUUGUUUAAUAUAAAUUGAGUUAAGAGCAUAAUUUUCAGAUUGUGUAAUCAAAGCAAUUCAUCUUGAUACUGUUGAUUAGAGAUAAAAUGACUAUGAUAAAUAGAUAAACCAUUGCUAAUGAGAACAAAAACUUCAUGUGUUGAUUUGAAAUAUUAUAUAAAUAAGUACUUGUAUGCAUCAAAUUAAUAAAUUAUGAUUAAUUCCCCUUCAAAGUUGGUUCUGAGUCAGGAAUCACACAUUAUCUAUCUAAUAAUUUUAUGUGCGGUAUUCGAUUAAUGAAUAUAUCAUGAUGCAUAAAGAUGGAUCCUCAAAGAAUAUGUAGGAUGCAUGUUAGUUUUCCUGACAUAAGGAGGAGAUUAUAAACAGCUAUGGAGUAUGUUAGGAAUUAUUAUUAGAUCCCCAUUCAAAAGAUAAUUCAAUUCAAAUACCGAAAGUAUCUCAUAUUAAACUGAAAGUGCUCCUAUUUUGUGUCCCUAAAGGACAAAGUAUGCAUGCGUGAAGCGUGGUAGAUCAAUCGAUUCUAAAUGCAAUAAUCCUUGAAAAGGAUAAGGAGCAAAUGAUCAUAAUAAGAAGGCAAUGUGCUCUUGAAGAACCUACGACAUAACACUUCAUGAAACCUUAUAGGAGGUUCAGGUACCUGAAAAUAAUGAAGUGAUGAAAUCUCAAAAUGUUAUGUCAUACUGUGAACUGAUAUGAAAUGAAAUAUCAUUAAUAUCUUUGAUACAAUAUUGGCGCAAUAUUGUAAAAGAUUAUGAGGACCUGAAUUCUAUGUUUAUUUAAGUAUGUUGACGUAAAGAUAUUUAUCAAGUGACAUGAAAGGAUGCAUCUUGAUAAGCAUAACACUUAUUUGAUUUGUAGCCCAGACACUUGAAGAUGUCACACAUGAAAUAUUGAAUAUUGUCACUUGACAAAAUUUAUAUGAAAACUUUUUUAAGGAUUCAAAAUGUUUGAAGCAUAUAAAAGUUUCUGGAAAACUUAUUUAUAAUCGUUAUAUUGUAUAAGCUUAUAACUUGUAAAUUAUUGGAACUCUUGGAGAAUUUUCAAAAGCAAUAGAUUAUUUGUUGGAAUGAGAAAUAUAUCGAAUUGGAUUGGUAAUAUAUCUUAGUGCAAUUGGUGUGCUAAUAUAUCUUGUAACUACUACAAGGUUCGAUAUAACCUUUCGAUCAAUUUGUUAGUAAGGUAUAGUUCUGCUCCUACUAUGAGACAUUAGAAUAAGAUUAAACAUAUGAGUUUAUUUAAUUUUAAAGACUGUAGUCCCGAUCAUGUUGGUUAUGUUGAUGCUGGGUACUCAUCCGAUCCAUAGGUACCCAUACAAUAAAUCUGAUCUAACCACCACUCUUUAGAACUUAUAGGAGGUACUUUUUUAUCACACAAGAUUUCGAAAAUGAGCUUUCAUUUCAUCCACCCUACCCGAAUCCAAGAGUGACAUCCUCAUUAAACUCACUAUUCUCCUGAAUCAUAGGUCCUAAAUACUUGAAAUUGUUUCUCUUAUUGAUAAAAUGAGUAUCAAGUUUAACAAUCACAUCGGACUCAUGAGAUACCUCACUGAACUUACGCUCCAAAUAUUCCGUCUUGGACCUACUCAACCUAAACCCUUUAGACUCAAGGGUCUGCCUCCAAACCUCCAAUUUAGCAUUAACUCCACUACGUGUCUCAUCAAUUAAUACCACAUCAUACGCAAAAAUCAAAUAGUAAUGCACCUCACUUUAAAUUUGUCGCAUCAAAACAUACAUCACUAAGGCAAAAAGAAACAGACUAAGCGUCGAUCCUUAGUGUAACCCUAUCAAGACGGAAAAGUGCUUAGUCCCCUCCUCCAAUCCUAACUCAAAUCUUGGCGCCGUCGUACAUAUCCUUAAUUGCCUUAAUAUACACCGUACACUUCUCUCCUCCAAACACUUCCAAAGAACCUCUCUCUGGGAACUCUAUCAUAGGUCUUCUCUAAGUCGAUAAACACCAUAUGCAAAUCCUUCUUCCUAACCCUAUACUGCUCUAUCAGUCUCCUAACGAGAUGAAUGGCUUCAGUAGUCGAGCACCCUAGCGUAAAUACAAACUAAUUUUCAGAAAUAGUAACAAUCCUUUGCAACCUCAACUCUACCACCCUCUCCCAACCCUUCAUAGUGUGGCUCAACAACUUUAUACCACUAUAAUUGUUGAAUAUCACCCUUAUUCUUAUACAAUAGAAUCAUCAUAAUUAAACCUUUUAAAUGGACCGGGUUAGCCCGUUCCAGCCAAUUUAGCUCGGCCUAACCGAUGGGCCUGCCCAAUCAGCCCACAGGCUGUAGGGCCGCCAGUCCUAGGCCUGGGCCUGGGCCGGCCAAGUGGAUAAAGACAAAUUGCUACGCUUAUUUUUAAGUUGUAUGAUGAAACAUAUUUCUCUAAUAAGAACUCAGAGACAGAAAACUGUAUUGUGGAAAUUUUUUUAGUAUGAGCUUGAUCAUUUGUCCCAUUUCUAAAGAUUACGGGUGGGUGUGCUCUAAUUUCAAAAAUUUUAGUUUUUAUGGUUAAACGCCCAUUAAUACUUAUAGCAUAAAAUAUUAUUGAUAUUCUUUUGAUUAUUGAAUAACUUUUUGGAAUUUGAUUGCUACCAUUAAUUUAUUAGAGAAAAAAUGGGUAAUAAUUCAUACAUACAUAUAACAUAAUAUAAAGCUCAAUUUAAUUUUUGAGACUUCAUACUUGUGUUUCUUUGACUCUCAAAUACUUUUAUAUGAUUUAGUAGGCAUUUGACUAAGAACUUUUUUUUAACAUUUUUUUCGAAAAUCAUUUCUUUUUGGUGAAAAUAGUAGUUUUUUAUCAUAAAAAUUAUUUUAAUUUACUGAAAAUUAUUUUUGAAAACUUUUUUCAUUCUUAUUUCUCGAGCAAAAUUUUAAAAACAACUCUAAUUUAUGUUUGUGACCAAACACAACAUCAAUUCUAACUUUAAUUCCAACUCCAACUUCAACUCUAAAAAUGAUUAUUUUCAUGGUCAAACGGGCAUUAAUCUUUUAAAAGUCUUCACAAAUAUAACAAGUUACUUUUUUAAUAAAAAUGACGCAACAAAAAUAAAUAACACAAAUGUUGAAUAAAAGUUUUAAAAUAAAGAACAAAUUAAAUUUUAAACGUAGAUUUGGGCCCGGGGUAAAUAGCACCCAUAGAUAGGUAAUAAAAGGAAGGGAUAUAUACCAAAACAGCUAACUUUAGACGCCAAAAAACAAAUUCUUCGUGGAAUCUCUUGUUUCAGCCCCUCCACAGUAAAAAAAACCUUUCUCCAGAAACCCAAAUUUCUUUGAAACCCUAGAAGCAACAGCUACUGGGGCCUACAUUUCCCUUCUGGAGUACAAUAACAUUGAAGGAAUGAUUCUUUUCUCUGAGCUCUCUCGUCGUCGUAUUCGGAGUAUUAGUAGUCUUAUCAAAGUUGGACGCGUCGAACCUGUUAUGGUUCUUAGGGUUUACAAGGAGAAAGGAUAUAUCGAUCUCAGUAAACGUAGGGCUUCUGAAGAAGAUAUUUCGGCUUGUGAGGAGAGGUAUAAUAAGAGUAUGCUUGUUCAUUCUAUCAUGCGUCGUGUUGCUGAAACCAUGGGAAUUGAUCUGGAGGUCAGCUAAUUUCUCAUACCCCAUUUUAUUUUUACUUUGGUGAUAAAGAGAGUUACUUUGAGUUUAACAUAUUAUUUGAAGCUUUUUGUAUAAUUUGUGAUAAAGGAUAGAAAAUGAAUGCAAUGUAUGAGAAGUUAUUGCAAUGUUUGUGAAUGGGAAAGGUGUCAUGUGUAUUUUGAAACUAAGGGAGCAAAGGAUUUGAUUGAAUUUGGAAUUUCAAUUGAACAUGAGGUCUACGGAUAGUAGAAAUUAUUGAAGUGCAAAGCAAAUGGGCUGACUUAGUUAUACAAAAGCAAAUGGGCUGACUUAGUUACUAUGAAAAUAUUGUGACGCAACCUACUGUUAUUCAAAUUCACGACUUGUUCAUAUCAGUUUUAAAGAGUUGAAUCACCGAUGAUCGUAACAAUCUUUUAAGGAAUCAACUAACCUCGAAACAAGUAGAGUAACUUUCAACUAACCAUGAAACAAAAUUAGUCAUAAGAAAUCUAACGCAUAACCACCUACUCAUCAAAAUAGUCUUAAAAAAUCCUAAGUUUCUACAAUACACAAUCCUACCAUUACGCUACUUGCACGAAGAAGAAGAAAUAAUGAGAAAAUUUAAAAGAGAAUGAUGUGUUUACCUUUUUUUGAGCAACGAAUAGGGAUUACGAGCCUGUCACGAUGGAUUUUCACCACCAAAAACUCGACUUGGACUUACCGGCAUUGAAUCGUUCUUGCAGAAACUUAGACGAUUUCAACGAAUUUAGGCGAAUUUCACCAUGAACCUCUUGGUUACGUGAGAUUAGAGGAGCGAUCCUCCAAAAUCCCCAUUUUAUCCCCAAAAAGCCCUCUUCACCUUUAU
rnacentral:lncRNA from 1 species